AUCAGGAGGCUCCGAGGUGCGACGUGAACGUGACUUCCUUCCUGCUUCCUGGUGCUUUGCGGACAAGGGCGGUGAUGGGAGAGGAAGGGACGAGCCCAGGCCGGGGUUUCCACGGCUGGCAGCCCGGCUCCCUGCCGCCCGCCCGCUUCUGGGCUUCUUGGCUGGGGCUGCUCCUGACAGAAGGGAUGCGUGUUGUCGGGGGCGGGGGGCGGCGUGUGUGCGUGUGCGUGUGCGAGAGUAUGUGUGUGCGCUUAAAAUACAAAAAAAAGAAGGCUGGCUACACUCAGCUGCGAGAGGCUGGCCGGGCUCCGUCCGUGCCAAUUCCCUCCGAGCUGGCACCGUGGGGACCGGGAGGGGGGAGAGGUGAGGGAAGAUGGACGCUUGCCACGGACGAGCGGCAGGGCUGGGCGCCUCCCGGGUGCCAGCGGGCGCACGGGGCCAAAACUCACAAACAAAAACCGCAGCAGAUCGCUGGCAGCCCGUCCUGGGGAGGCGGCAGCCACUUGGCAGAGGAGCCAUGGAGGACCCGGCUGGGAGUAGGCGGCCGGCGCACAGGCUUUCCUGCUGCCGAGGAGCUCUCGUUCUGGGUGACUUGGCAUUUGCUUACGAAUGAAGCCAGAUGCGGAAGCAGACCGGCCUUGAGGGAGAGGCGUCAACGGCACCGGCCGUCCACGACCCGCGGAGCAGCCAAGAGGACAGACGCUGGGAGACACCGGCCGCCACUGGCCUGAGGGCAUCUGUCCUGACAUGUCCCCUCUGACGCUUCCGGAAGAGUUGGGAGGCUCUUAACAACCAAAAUAUGUGCCUGGAGAAUUGGGGGAAUUAGGAAUCUGACCCUUCCGUGCCCCUGUGCCUUCCAAAGCAUUUCCUCUUUUGUUCUGUCCACUUUCCUUUGAAUGUGCUCGCUGCUAUCCGCUCAGCCACGAGGAAAUGAGGCCUCGUCCCGUCUGCCCCAGGGACCAGGGGAGCAGGGAGGGCGGGGACGUGCUGCCUGAGGCCUGACAGUGGCAGUGCGCGUCUCCUGGUGCCGUGCCCGUGCCCCUCACAGCAUCCCCGCUGGGAAGUCCCCAGUGUUGUGCCCAUUUACAGACGAGGAGACGGAGGCUCCGGGAGGAGGGGUGCCCCCACCAGGGAGCGUUGAGCCAGCGUGCGCGCCCAGUCUGUCGACUCCACGGUCCAAGCCGACCUUGGGAGGGUUGAGGUCCCUGCACCUCAAUCUCCACAGCUGUGGAGCAGGGGUGGUGAGAGUCCCCACCUCGCAGAGUCACUGUGAGGGUCCAGCCGCUGAACGUGUGCAAACAGGAGGAGAGUGCAGGUGGAGAGUGAGCAGUGCUGGUCGUCUUGACCCAAACAUGUGUCCCCAAAACCAAAGUUUCCCAGCACUUACUUUUUCCACGUGCAACACAUCCUGAUGGUUUUUGAAAAGCUCUGCUGCCAACAGCGGGAGACCCCCGCCUGGAAGAAGGAUGCCCGGGAGCAGUGCCUGGGGUGCGCCAUCUGCCCCCCAGGGUCCCUUCUGCUCGGCCCAGGAUGUGGUGUUUUGUUUUGGCAAAAGGGCGGUCCCUCCCUUUGGUCCACCUCACAGAGACCAAGUUACGAUAAGGCUCGAGGAAGAGUCCAGGAAGGUGGAGCAUGGGGAGAAGCGGCCCCAGGGAGCAGCGCGGACGGGCUUCAGCGAACAGACGCGCAGGCUCUUCUGGUGCGGUUGGUAGGACCACCUUGUCAGCUCAUUCAACAGGCUUCACUGGGACUGCGGUUCAAGCGGCUUCACGAUGUGGGGGCGCCAGUGUGCCCUCACGUCCCUCUGUCCCUGGACCUUUCAGUGCACAGCAGCCAGGUGUCCACCUGCCAGUCCCAGCAUCCUUACCUGGCUGCUGGAGCCCACCUGUGAGCAUGCUUCUGGGGAGCCCCAACCAAGACAGCUGAGCACGAGCUGUGCUGGAGGCCUGCAGGGAGCUGUGUGCAUGGGAGGAGCUGGGCAUGCUCUCACACUGCUCAUGAGAAAAGUCCCCCAGAGUCAUCCAUGGCCCGAGGGCCCGUGUGCCUGGCGCACUGUCUGCUGCCUCUUCUCUCUCAUACUCUCCGGCAGCCACCCCGACCACAUCAGACUCCAACUCAGGGCCUUUGCACAAGCCAGUCCCUCUGCCUGGAGGUCCUUCCUUCCACUCUCUGUGUCUAACCCUGGUUCCCCGUCCACAUCACCAUCCCACUUUCCCCCACCCCAGCAUCUAAACUGGGAGCCCCGUGCCCAUUUUUCCCUUCACUCAAUAAACGUGCAUGGGGAACCUACAAUGUGCCAGACCCUGUUCCAAGCUCUGGGGUCAUAUAAAAUGGACACAAAUUCCUGUUCCAUGGUGCUUUUACACUGUGAAUGGGGGUGGGGGAUAGUAAUGUGGUAAAG
rnacentral:lncRNA from 1 species